AAUGAACGCUGGCGGCAGGCCUAAAACAUGCAAGUCGAACGCCCUAGCAAUAGGGAGUGGCGCACGGGUGAGUAACAUGUGGGGAUAUGCCUUUUGGUACGGAACAACGUUUGGAAACGAACGCUAAUACCGUAUAGUCCCUCCGGGGUAAAGAUUUAUCGCCAAAAGAUUAGCCCGCACUAGAUUAGCUAGUUGGUAAGGUAAUGGCUUACCAAGGCGACGAUCUAUAGCUGUUCUGAGAGGAAGAUCAGCCACACUGGGACUGAGACACGGCCCAGACUCCUACGGGAGGCAGCAGUUAGGAAUAUUGGACAAUGGGCGCAAGCCUGAUCCAGCCAUGCCGCGUGAGUGAUGAAGGCCUUCGGGUUGUAAAGCUCUUUAGCCGACGAAUAUAAUGACUGUAGUCGGAGAAUAAGCCCCGGCUAACUUCGUGCCAGCCGCCGCAGUAAGAC
rnacentral:rRNA from 1 species